rnacentral:hammerhead_ribozyme from 1 species
AUCCAGUUGACGAGUCUCAAAUAGGACGAAAUGCGCGUCCUGGAU